GUUCAGAAUCUUGCACAAUGGACGAAAGUCUGAUGCAGCCAUACCGCGUGUGCGAAGAAGGCCCUCGGGUCGUAAAGCACUGUCAGGAGGGAAGAUAAUGACGGUACCUCCAGAGGAAGCAACGGCUAAUUACGUGCCAGCAGCCGCGGUAAUACGUAAGUUGCGAGCGUUAUCCGGAAUCACUGGGCGUAAAGCGUUCGUAGGCGGCGUGGUAAGUCGGAUUUGAAAUCCCGGGGCUCAACUCCGGAACUGGAUCCGAAACUAUCACACUAGAGCGUGUCAGAGGGUAGCGGAAUUCCCGGUGUAGCGGUAAUAUGCGUAGAUAUCGGGAGGAACACCAGUGGCGAAGGCGGCUACCUGGGGCAUUGCUGACGCUGAGGAACGAAAGCUAGGGGAGCGAACGGGAUUAGAUACCCCAGUAGUCC
rnacentral:rRNA from 1 species